CCAAUAGCGUAUAUUAAAGUUGUUGCAGUUAAAAAGCUCGUAGUUGAAUUUUGGGAUUGACACAUCGGUCGUGCCUUAAGGGGUAUGAACUGGUGUAGUCAGUUUCUCACCUUCUGGAGAACCGCGAUGUCCUUAAUUGGGUGCCGUGAGGAACCAGGACCUUUACUUUGAAAAAAUUAGAGUGUUUAAAGCAGGCAUUU
rnacentral:rRNA from 1 species